rnacentral:tRNA from 1 species
GUGGGUAUGGCUCAGUGAUGGAGCACGUGCUUAGCAUGUACAGAGCCCUGGGUUCAAUCCCCAGGACCUCCA